rnacentral:rRNA from 1 species
CUUAAGUGAGGUGUGAAAGCCCCGGGCUUAACCUGGGAAUUGCAUUUCAUACUGGGUCGCUAGAGUACUUUAGGGAGGGGUAGAAUUCCACGUGUAGCGGUGAAAUGCGUAGAGAUGUGGAGGAAUACCGAAGGCGAAGGCAGCCCCUUGGGAAUGUACUGACGCUCAUGUGCGAAAGCGUGGGGAGCAAGCAGGAUUAGAUACCCUGGUAGUCCACGCUGUAAACGAUGUCGAUUUGGGGGUUGAGCUUUAAGCUUGGCGCCCGUAGCUAACGUGAUAAAUCGACCGCCUGGGGAGUACGGCCGCAAGGUUAAAACUCAAAUGAAUUGACGGGGGCCCGCACAAGCGGUGGAGCAUGUGGUUUAAUUUGAUGCAACGCGAAGAACCUUACGUACUCUUGACAUCCAGAGAACAUUCCAGAGAUGGAUUGGUGCCUUCGGGAACUUUGAGACAGGUGUUGCAUGGCUGUCGUCAGCUCGUGUUGUGAAAUGUUGGGUUAAGUCCCGCAACGAGCGCAACCCUUAUCCUUUGUUGCCAGUGAUUCGGUCGGGAACUCAAAGGAGACUGCCGGUGAUAAACCGGAGGAAGGUGGGGAUGACGUCAAGUCAUCAUGGCCCUUACGAGUAGGGCUACACACGUGGUACAAUUGGGUAUACAGAGGGAAGCGAGAGUGCGAGCUGGAGUGAAUCUCACAAAGUUCGUAUAAGUCCGGAUUGGAGUGUGCAACUCGAUUCUGUGAAGUCGGAAUCGGUAGUAAUCGCAAAUCAGAAUGUUGCGGUGAAUACGUUCCCGGGCCUUGUACACACCGCCCGUCACACCAUGGGAGUGGGUUGUACCAGAAGUAGAUAGCUUAACCUUCGGGGGGGCGUUUACCACGGUAUG